UUAGUGGCGGACGGGUGAGUAACGCGUGGGAAACCUGCCCUGUACCGGGGGAUAACACUUAGAAAUAGGUGCUAAUACCGCAUAAGCGCACAGCUUCACAUGAGGCAGUGUGAAAAACUCCGGUGGUACAAGAUGGACCCGCGUCUGAUUAGCUAGUUGGUAAGGUAACGGCUUACCAAGGCGACGAUCAGUAGCCGACCUGAGAGGGUGACCGGCCACAUUGGGACUGAGACACGGCCCAAACUCCUACGGGAGGCAGCAUG
rnacentral:rRNA from 1 species